rnacentral:rRNA from 1 species
UACGGAGGGUGCUAGCGUUGUUCGGAAUUACUGGGCGUAAAGAGCGCGUAGGCGGCUUAUCAAGUUGGGAGUGAAAUCCCUGGGCUUAACCCAGGAAUUGCUUUCAAAACUGGUAGGCUAGAGAAUGGUAGAGGAUGGCGGAAUUCCUAGUGUAGAGGUGAAAUUCGUAGAUAUUAGGAGGAACACCGGUGGCGAAGGCGGCCAUCUGGGCCAUUUCUGACGCUGUGGCGCGAAAGCGUGGGGAGCAAACAGG